UACGUAGGGUGCGAGCGUUGUCCGGAAUUAUUGGGCGUAAAGAGCUCGUAGGCGGUUUGUCGCGUCGACUGUGAAAACUGGGGGCUUAACUCUCAGCUUGCAGUUGAUACGGGCAGACUUGAGUUCGGUAGGGGAGACUGGAAUUCCUGGUGUAGCGGUGAAAUGCGUAGAUAUCCGGAGGAACACCGGUGGCGAAGGCGGCUUCCUGGACCGAUUACUGACGCUGAUGCGCGAAAGCUAGGGGAGCAAACGGG
rnacentral:rRNA from 1 species